rnacentral:rRNA from 1 species
GACGAACGCUGGCGGCGUGCUUAACACAUGCAAGUCGAGCGGUAAGGCCCUUUCGGGGGUACACGAGCGGCGAACGGGUGAGUAACACGUGGGUGACCUGCCCUCAGCUCUGGGAUAAGCCUGGGAAACUGGGUCUAAUACUGGAUAUGACUCCACGGUGCAUGUCGUGGGGUGGAAAGCCUUGUGCGGCUGAGGAUGGGCCCGCGGCCUAUCAGCUUGUUGGUGGGGNGAUGGCCUACCAAGGCGACGACGGGUAGCCGGCCUGAGAGGGCGACCGGCCACACUGGGACUGAGACACGGCCCAGACUCCUACGGGAGGCAGCAGUGGGGAAUCUUGCGCAAUGGGCGAAAGCCUGACGCAGCGACGCCGCGUGAGGGAUGACGGCCGUCGGGUUGUAAACCUCUUUCAGCUCCGACGAAGCGGAAGUGACGGUAGGAGCAGAAGAAGCACCGGCCAACUACGUGCCAGCAGCCGCCGCAGUAAU